rnacentral:rRNA from 1 species
AUUGAACGCUGGCGGCAGGCUUAACACAUGCAAGUCGAGCGGAGAGAGGUAGCUUGCUACUGAUCUUAGCGGCGGACGGGCGAGUAAUGCUUAGGAAUCUGCCUAUUAGUGGGGGACAACAUUUCGAAAGGAAUGCUAAUACCGCAUACGUCCUAGGGGAGAAAGCAGGGGAUCUUCGGACCUUGCGCUAAUAGAUGAGCCUAAGUCGGAUUAGCUAGUUGGUGGGGUAAAGGCCUACCAAGGCGACGAUCUGUAGCGGGUCUGAGAGGAUGAUCCGCCACACUGGGACUGAGACACGGCCCAGACUCCUACGGGAGGCAGCAGUGGGGAAUAUUGGACAAUGGGCGGAAGCCUGAUCCAGCCAUGCCGCGUGUGUGAAGAAGGCCUUAUGGUUGUAAAGCACUUUAAGCGAGGAGGAGGCUACUUUAGUUAAUACCUAGAGAUAGUGGACGUUACUCGCAGAAUAAGCACCGGCUAACUCUGUGCCAGCCGCCGCGGUAACAC